AUUGAACGCUGGCGGCAGGCCUAACACAUGCAAGUCGAGCGGAUGAAGGGAGCUUGCUCCUGGAUUCAGCGGCGGACGGGUGAGUAAUGCCUAGGAAUCCGCCUGGUAGUGGGGGACAACGUUUCGAAAGGAACGCUAAUACCGCAUACGUCCUACGGGAGAAAGCAGGGGACCUUCGGGCCUUGCGCUAUCAGAUGAGCCUAGGUCGGAUUAGCUAGUUGGUGAGGUAAUGGCUCACCAAGGCGACGAUCCGUAACUGGUCUGAGAGGAUGAUCAGUCAUACUGGAACUGAGACACGGUCCAGACUCCUACGGGAGGCAGCAGUGGGGAAUAUUGGACAAUGGGCGAAAGCCUGAUCCAGCCAUGCCGCGUGUGUGAAGAAGGUCUUCGGAUUGUAAAGCACUUUAAGUUGGGAGGAAGGGUUGUAGAUUAAUACUCUGCAAUUUUGACGUUACCGACAGAAUAAGCACCGGCUAACUCUGUGCCAGCAGCCGCAGUAAUAC
rnacentral:rRNA from 1 species